GCCUCGGUAGCUCAGUUGGUCAGAGCACCGGUCUUGUAAACCGGGGGUCGUGGGUUCGAAUCCCACCCGGGGCU
rnacentral:tRNA from 1 species